CCAUGAAGCCACAAACCCGUGAACACCAUGACCGGAAAGAUUUGACUUCCAUGAAGGGAACACUUUGAAUGGGAAAGGUGUUUUUGCUUCUUUUUUUUUUGCAGAUUCGACAUCAACACUCAUAUGCACAGAUGUCAGUAUAAUUUGUCCCGACGUCGCAAGAUUGAUUGCUACUUGAAGCAGAGGCGAAAGUUUCGACGUUUUUCCAGACUUGGAGUUCGUCAUACACCCUUUUGGUCGACAUUGUCUGUAUCUUCCCCUGCAUUGACGUCUUCAAGCAGUGUCGAAUCGAACGAGAUGAGUGAUAACAUGAACUAGUCUGCUGAGAUGACCCACAAAUUUCUGGUCCUGUUGUCUGAGCGGGCGAAAACUUCGUACGGUACUUCAAUAAAAACAGCAGAUUACCAGGAAAUGUUGGACGACUUAUCAUCAGUGGCUGGGAGGAUACUCAACGUCACAACUAACCUCUAAGUACUUUCGCCUGCAAAGAGUAUAUCAAGCAUGGCGAAAAUUGUUGCAACACACGGGGUUCAGGUGGGAUCAUGAGUCACAAAGUCCAACGUGUCCUGUAGAGGUUUGGCAAGAAUAUGUCAAGCAAAACCCACAGGCGCAACAAUUCUACCACAAGGGAUUUUCUCACAAGGAGUUUUAUGAAAUCAUAUUUGAGAAGCAAACUGCCACUGGGAGAUAUGCGUACACAUCUACAUCUCAAUCGAUGGAGACCUCUACUUAUUCCAAUCAAGGCACAAUUCCCAUGGAUGAUAGCGACUUUGAACCUGAUCCAGAUCGGAUGACAGGGGAAAAACGGCCAAACACAUCUGGCCAUGGAAGAGCAAGAAAUAAGAGGAAUAGAAGCGGCCCUGGACAAUCACUUGCGGAUGUCAUUGGUAGAUUGACGAAAGAGCUUGUGGAAAAGCGGACUAUGGGAUCAAGGGCUAGCAAUCGCAAUGGAGAUGAGAGGGACGAAGAGAAACCAAUGGUCCAUCUGAUCCAUUUUCCAUGAGCAAUUGUAUUGACAUCAUGACGGCCAUGCAAGUACCUAUAUAGUUUUACAUGCCAGUUGUCAAGUACUUAUAUCAAAAUACAGGGUGGCGAGAGAUAUUCGUGAAACUCCCGCCCGAGGAAAAGGCUAAUUGGAUUGUUAACGACUUUCGCAAUU